UACGAAGGGGGCUAGCGUUGUUCGGAUUUACUGGGCGUAAAGCGCACGUAGGCGGAUCGUUAAGUCAGGGGUGAAAUCCUGGAGCUCAACUCCAGAACUGCCUUUGAUACUGGCGAUCUUGAGUCCGGAAGAGGUGAGUGGAACUCCUAGUGUAGAGGUGGAAUUCGUAGAUAUUAGGAAGAACACCAGUGGCGAAGGCGGCUCACUGGUCCGGUACUGACGCUGAGACGCGAAAGCGUGGGGAGCGAACAGG
rnacentral:rRNA from 1 species